CACCCUUACUCUCUUCACUCCAAGAGUUUCUGUUCUUUGUUUCUCAGGAUUCUCCCCUUCCCCAAAACACUUAACCUCCAAUUUUCAUCAAAUCCCCACCAUCUUUACAGUGAUUGUGCAAAAUUAGGGUUCAAGAAAGGUUCUUAUUGUAAUCAGUGUAAGGGUUUGCUUUGUGGUUCUGCUCACAUUUUCUUCAAGAAAGACGUCUCCUUCUUCUCUUUUUUUUCUUACCUAAUUUGUGAAAGUAAGUUUCUUCUUUAUCUAUUGUGUUCUUUGGUUCGCUUAUUGUCCUAUGCUAGAAUUGUAAUGUUUUCCUACACUUUCUUGAAUAAUUGGUAAAUGUUUGUGUUAUAUUAUGAUAUGACUACUUGUUUAUUCCUAGUUUAUGAUGUUUUAUCCAUCAAUUGCUAAUUUCAAAUAGUAAUGGCUCUCUGUACAAUUAACCUUAGGAAUUGAUGAUGAAGAAAAACAAAACAUUCAUCAAAUUUCUAUUUUGGACACAUAACAUGUAGAGGACUAGUCAUCAAAAUGCCUAGACUAUAAAGUGCAAAUACAUGGUAGUAAGCUGUACAAGAAACCUGCUGGAGCAUUUACCAAUUCGAAUUACGGUGCUUUGUGUUGUCAGAGUGGGUUUUCUCCUUGGAUAUACACUAGAUGAGUGGUAAGAUAAUAACUUUUGAUUUGCUUUUUUAUCUGCUACUAUAAAAAUAUGGAGACCUGGAGAAUUUUGGUGAUGGGUGACAAAGGAACAGGCAAGAGUACGAUGCUUGAAGCCUGAAAUGGUCAACCUGAUGCUAAUAAUACUGCAUACACUAUCGAUUUCACGACCAGUGAAAAUCGAAAUCUUAGAUUCACAUGCUACGAAACAGACAACAACAUUAAAGACACUUGUGGAUAUGAUGGGUUUAUUGUUGUUUUCGAUCGAACUAAACUGUCAUCCUACAAGUACGCCCAAAAUAUUUGCCGCCAGCUUGCAGCUAGGCUGGUAGGAUAUAAACCAGUUGUUUUGGUGGCCAAUAAAAUCGAUCGCUUUCAAGAGAGCAGGAAGGCAUAUGAAAUCACUGCGGAUCAAGAAUUCAGCCACCCAUUGUGUUAUAUAUAUCAGCAAAGAAUAAUACUAAUGUUGAGAAGCCGUUUCUUUCUCUUGCAAGAUUGCUAACUAAUGUACCUAGGUUAAUUUUUCUACAUGACAUGCCCACUGCUGGUGAGGUUCCUGGUGGAAACAUUGAAGACCCACCCAUUCAUGUUGAUAUUCCUAGUGCCCCAUCGUUGUCGACUGUGGAUCAAGUCCCUGCACAACCAUCUGAACAGGUUCAGACCACCUUGAAAGUUCCUGGUGAUACUCCUGAUGCCCCAUCACCAUCGACUGUCCGGCGCUUGAUAAGCUAUAUAAAAGCUCUAACUGGUUUUUACUAUUACUAUUUGAUCCACCUCUUUGGCCUUUUGUUUAAAAUUAAUCACUCUUUUUUUUUGUUUCACCUGCAUAGGAUCGAGCCCCUGCAGUUUCAUCCCGACAGUCUCGAAAAAGCACCUUGAGGAUCAAUGGCGUGGAUUGUGCCUCUGUAUCAGAAAUUUUAGAAGAUCAGCGCUCAAAGUGCUGUUACUGUUAGGAGAUUUUACUCAACUGUGCAGGAGUGUGAUGAUAGCUGUAGGGAAAAAUGAAUGUUAGGAUGGUAUUCUAACUUUUGGGACCUCUUUAACUUUUGAAUUUUCAGAAAAUUUGUUGAAUGUUUCUCGUCCUGAAAUUAAAUUCACGAGGGAGAAAUUGUCCUACUGGGAGAAAUUACUGCUUCUCACCAGGGUUUUUGUAAAAAUACUUUUGAAUGUAAAUGUGUUCUGGCAUACCUUUCUCUAAUUUAAGGUUUUUUCUUUUC